rnacentral:lncRNA from 1 species
AUUUAAGGGCUGACUGCCAUUGGGGAAGGUUCUCUUUCUGGAGGCUUCUCCUUUGUGGAGCUUUUUUUGUCAUGAGUCUGACUCUUCAGUUAUAGGCUCUCAGCAGCUGUGGAGCUUCACUGAGGUAAGCAUGUGACUUCUCACACACCUGAAGCCUUUCAGUCAGCAGCUGAAGAGCCCAAACUUGAUGCUGACAGCUACUCUCUGACCAGGUUCCCCAACACCCUCGCACAAUGAGCAGCCGUUGCACAGCCUUAAAAACAGGUGGGAUCGGUCCCUUCAGACAUGCAAGAAACUAUCCCGUUUUCCGGAGUAGUAUUUUCCACACAUGAAUGCGUUUCCAGGUGCUUCAGAGGAUUCUAACACAAGAGAUCAUCUGGGGAAAUCCUCAUUUCAAUCACUGCAGGACGGAAGCUGUGCCAGAUCUCCUUCGGCCUUCAACGUGAGCAGGUUCAAGACCCUGCUCAUUAAAAACUAGUUGGAAAAAAAUCAGUAAGGAGAAACUUUAAAACAAACAAACUCAAUCCUUGCAGUUGAUGUUGCUAGUAAGUGAAAUAUAAUUUUGGCCUGGGUGAAGGCGGGGGGGGGGUAUUUUGUUUUCAGUAACUGAAACAGUGGGUUUUGGUAUGCUCCCUAUUCCUUUCUUUGACUGGGAAUGAUUUUACUGAAAUACAGGAAAGUCUGUGUUGUUUUCAAAGGAAAAAGAUUCAAUUUCCUGAGCAGCCCUAUAAAUGGUUGCAGAUCCUGAUCUGGGCUAGGGGACUGCCCCUUGGACUAGUCCAGGCAGAGAAUGGAGCCAUCUUCCUGACAAGUUCCCUGAAAUCUUGGCGGAUGAUUUGUGCACUUGCAAAUCAAACAGGUCACACCUCCCUACUCCCAGAUCUUUGUGUACCUACAAGUGAAACCAAGAACAGGUUUCCCUUGCAAAUAUUACUCUUACUCCUAACUUCUCUAACUGUAAUAGCAGGAGAAAGAAGAGGUUAACAGGUUAGAACAUAUCAGAAAUGACCUUUAAGAAGUCACCAUUAGAGCCCUGAUACCAUGCUGCUGAAGCCAGGAGGAGCCCAGUUCAGUGGGCUGAAGUCUGAAGCAUGAAAGUCAUCAACAGCAACGUUAAAUUGCACUGUGCUCAAAAGGCAGAGACUUUGUUAAGUCUAGGGGAAAGUGAAGGGGAAGGACGUGGAAGAAAUUAUUUGUUUAUGAGCAAGGAAUGGACACUGUUUUCAACUCUGUAUUGCUUGAAUCUGUGUACUCAUAUAAAAGAAAAUCUUAAGGUUAAAAUAAGUAUCUGUAAGUGUCUGCUGGCAUGUGUGGCCUCUGGCAGCUGGUGAUCGUGGAGCUUUAAGUCCAUUCCCAGUUUCUAGGCACAUAUUUCCCUUUUAAACCUCUUGUACACUGUGCUGACAAUGGCAGAAGCACUGAAAACUCCUAAGGGUUAGGGUGAAUCCCAAUGGCACACAGUUACUAAGCUGGCUUUAAUGACACUAUUUCUGUCAACUACUUUGAUUUUCUAUUAGUAAACGGAGUCUCCAUUUUGCUGUUUAAACAGCAAAGAAAAAGCUGUCCUCUGUGCCAGCUGGUUAGUAUUUCAACAAUUAAGACUGUGUGUUUAGCUCCUUUACUAAACUUGAUCAGAGUAA